rnacentral:misc_RNA from 1 species
AAAGUCGUAACAAGGUUUCCGUAGGUGAACCUGCGGAAGGAUCAUUACUACGUAUCCAACGUAUAAACCAAACGUGAACUGUAUCCGGUCAUGGAUAGAGUCAAUAGCUUGUCACGCUAAGACCUCUCUGUUAGUGAUAGAGGUUGUGACUUGCUGCCUCUCACGAGGGACUUUGUCUUUGAUGCUGGUUUAUCACUAACACUAUUAUUAUUAACCCAUUGCACUAUGCAUUGAACUAAUCAUGUUUCAUGCUUUGUGGACCCUUCGGGGAACAUGGACUUGAAAUUAUUUACGUAACUUGAACAACUCUUAGCAACGGAUAUCUUGGCUCUC